CUGAUGGCCAUAUAAAAGCUGCACGCUCGCAACAAAAGGCAGAGAGCGAAUACGGAAAACAGCGAAGCAGCGAAUAACACGAAAAGCCAGGGCAAUAACUCGUAUUCUUACUUCGAAACAAAAACAGUGAUAUAAACUAAAACUGGAACGAAGCGUGGCAAAGAGUUGCUUUGAGUUGUACCGAGUUGAGUAAAUAAACAGAGCGAGCGAGUGGGAAGUGAGAGGAAAGGACUCGAAAGAAAAACGCGCGGAAAAGUGCAUUUCGAUUUCCCAUUUAUUUUUUUCCGAGUGAAAGUUGGGCGCCUUCUUUAUACCGACACCCACACACCCACGAACGAACCAACGCACACAGACUGAUGAACCGUUCCAACAGCUUUGUCAGCUCGCUCAAGUGGUGGCCACUGCAGGGUCACAACAACCACAACCAACCGGCGGUGCAACCUGCCAGCGGCGGGGUCUACUCGCAAUCUGCUCCCAGCUCCCCCACCUCCAACUGGCCGCCACCGCUGCAGCAACAGCAGCUUCAUCGCCUGCACCCGCUGGCACCGCAUACACAAAAGCCCGGCGUGGUCGGCGCCACAUUCGGCAGCAGCGUUGCCGUUCAAAAGCUACGCGAAUCCAAGUGGUUUAAACCGGCGGAGCAGCGCAUCUUUUGCGCCGUCGUCGAAUGCGGCUUCAUUGUCGAAAUACGCAGCAGCUCCGCAGCCGAGGCGGCGGCCGCUGCGGCAGCAGCUGCUGCAAUGGCCGGGGCCUCCUCCACCGGUGACGCUUCUUCCGUCGAUGGCGUGGACUCCCUGGAGCUCGACUGUCCGCCGCACCCGCCAACGCCGUUGCUGGUCAUAACGCGUAACGGAAGCAGCUUCCUUGAGACGCAGGAUGAGAACGAGACACCAGUGGCCUCCUGGUAUGGAAUCGUUCUCUGCAAGUUGGCCAAAGACAAUAAACCCAAGCCCGAAACUAUCGAGAUAUUUUCUGUGAAAAUACGUGAGAAUGGGACCUAUAAAUUAAUCAAAAUGUCACUUGCCGAAAUAUGGAGCCAUGGCUGGGAGUUGCGUAUUAACAAUUUCGCCGACAAGGAGAAAGUCCCGCACAACGAAAAGGAUAUACGCAAUCAGGUGUCUGUGGCGCGAAAGGCCAAACAGAGUUUGUGGAACAACAACAAGCACUUCGUCUAUUGGUGUCGGUACGGGAGUCGUCAGCAGGAUCUGCGGAAGCGACAGGUAACGACGAGUGCCAAUCACGUGCUACUGCACCUGAUCAAUUAAUAGGCGGCGGAGCUCAGACAGCCAGCAAAAAGAAUAAUUAUAUAUAUAUAUAUCGCCGAUUCGGAGACCAACAUAAUUGCCAAUCCUCUUAUCCCCUCCUCCUUCCCACCUCCUGCUCCUGCGCCACUACCAACCCAACCAUUCACAUACAUAUAUUGAUUGUUAUAGUUGCAGCAUCCAAAAAAAAAAUGUAAAAACAUAAAACACAUACACACACACACACACACACUACACUGACCAAAAACCAACUUUCAGACCAACGCAUGCACAAAAAUUUGUUUCACAGGUUUAACCGGAGAACGAACCAUUGCCAUUUUUCUGUAUGGCUUUAUUUAUAACCAUCAUGCAACCACUGAAUAUUAUUCAUGCUUUCCCCUUUGUUCUGGCUUUUUGCUCAUUUAAAAAAAAGAAAAAAAAAAUUGUAAAAAAAGGAGAAGGAAAUGUAUGUAUGUAGAUGUUAACCCCAAAUGGAAGUUUCAUCAUAAAAAUAACCGAAUAUGCAUCCUCCUUGCAGCACCCUUUAUAUUCCCCGCAUUUCGUGAGAUCCUCACGAUCAUUAACUAUUCUAUAUGGUACAGAAAGCAUUACAUUUUGUAUAUAUUACAUAUAUUUAUGAGAGUCUUGCAGUUAUUAUUGAAAAGGCAGACGACAGGCUUGUUUCAUAUUUCUAGUUUAUAGGAAUAGGAUUUUGUUAUUAAUUAUUCGAAUUUUUAAACUAUAUAAGAUAUGGGUUUUUCUAUUCCAUUAAAUACUUCUUACUUUUAAAAUUCAAGGUAAUUUGAUAACUUUGUUUUAAACCUUGUAGGAAAAACAUAAUUUUAAAGAAAAUCACAAAUGGGAAAAUGAAAUAGAUCUGCCCUCUGUCUAUUCUGUAUAUAUCAAUACUGUAACGGGAAAGUCGAUAUACAAAUUUGGCAUUUUAACGUAACGAUAUACAGUGCGAUAAAUCGAUAUUCUGUUGAAUAUAUCGUACCAAUAUAAUCGGUAACAAUACAAAAUUCAAUAACUUAUUUCUGAUAUUUUUCGAUAAAAUCAACAACAUUUUUCGAUAUUUAAAAUUUCGAUAAAUUGAAAUUGAUAUGAUAUUGAGCAUCCCUAGUAACAACCAGUUAAACUUCAAACUUUGCUAUACCAAAUAUGUAUUUUUCACUAUUUUAUUUAUUGUAUUUUUCUUGUCACAUUUCGAGGCGUGAUAAUUAAGGAAAGUUGAUGAUUAUUAUUAGUUGUACUUCCACUUAUUCCGGCCAGCGUUCCGCCUUUUAUAUUGCAACCUAAGAGACAUGUCGGAGUGCGUGAAGUGGGGCAGCGUUGGCAUGAAUGCGGGCAUGUUGUUGGUGCUGAAUAGCAAUAAUAAACCAAAAAGAACGCAAUUG